GACGUAGGAGGCGAGCGUUAUCCGGAUUCACUGGGCGUAAAGCGCAUGUAGGCGGUUGCACAAGUCCGUUGUUAAAGCCCCUGGCUCAACUGGGGGAGGUCAAUGGAGACUGUGCGACUUGAGGGCAAUAGAGGCACGUGGAACUCCCGGUGUAGCGGUGGAAUGCGUAGAUAUCGGGAGGAACACCAGUGGCGAAGGCGACUACCUGGCCUGUUCUUGACGCUGAGGCGCGAAAGCUAGGGGAGCAAACGGG
rnacentral:rRNA from 1 species